AGUGAACGCUGGCGGUAGGCCUAACACAUGCCAGUCGAACGGCAGCACAGUAAGAGCUUGCUCUUACGGGUGGCGAGUGGCGGACGGGUGAGGAAUACAUCGGAAUCUACUUUUUCGUGGGGGAUAACGUAGGGAAACUUACGCUAAUACCGCAUACGACCUACGGGUGAAAGCAGGGGAUCUUCGGACCUUGCGCGAUUGAAUGAGCCGAUGUCGGAUUAGCUAGUUGGCGGGGUAAAGGCCCACCAAGGCGACGAUCCGUAGCUGGUCUGAGAGGAUGAUCAGCCACACUGGAACUGAGCCAGGGUCCAGACUCCUACGGGAGGCAGCAGUGGGGAAUAUUGGACAAUGGGCGCAAGCCUGAUCCAGCCAUACCGCGUGAGUGAAGAAGGCCUUCGUGUUGUAAAGCCCUUUUGUUGGGAAAGAAAAGCAGCAGGUUAAUACCCCGCUGUUCUGACGGUACCCAAAGAAUAAGCACCGGCUAACUUCGUG
rnacentral:rRNA from 1 species